rnacentral:ncRNA from 1 species
AAGAGCCCGGUGCGGGAAAUCUGCACGCCGGGUUCUGUGGGGGUUCGGGCCACCAAUUGGGUGGCCUCUCUACCCGGA